rnacentral:misc_RNA from 1 species
GAUGAAGAACGCAGCGAAAUGCGAUAAGUAAUGUGAAUUGCAGAAUUCAGUGAAUCAUCGAAUCUUUGAACGCACCUUGCGCUCCUUGGUAUUCCAAGGAGCAUGCCUGUUUGAGUAUCAUUAAAUUAUCAACUGUGCCAAUUUGGUUACAGAUUGGAUGUGGGAGAUUCUUUUUGCAGGCCUUUGACUUCUCUUUGAGAAAAAAAAUAAAAGGUCGGCUCUCCUGAAAUGUAUUAGCAGUGCCUUUGUUGGUUCAUUAGGUGUGAUAAAUUGUCUACAUCUUCGCAUGAUACCUUCAUUUGUAAAGGUCAUAUUGCUUCUAAAUUGUCUUUGAUUGGACGCAAAACAUAUAUAAUGUUUGACAAACUUGAUCUCAAAUCAGGCAGGACUACCCGCUGAACUUAAGCAUACAAUAAGCGGAGGA